ensembl:lncRNA
AGUUAGUUAGUUAGUUAGUCAGUUACUUAGAUAGUUGAAGCGGUUAUUUGAAACGAACUGUUCAAAAGAACCGAUUCGUGGAACUGAGGCUGUUUCUCAAUUCCAAGAUCGCUAAAGAACGCAUAUUGAGAAACAGCCUGAGACUUUCUUCGUCAAAAUAUGUGAACCCACGUCAAUCAAUCGCGAACCAAUCCCAGCGUGGCUUCCUGGAUUACCCGUAUGAAAUUCAGUACACCACUUCCUGCUUUCAGUUCAGUAACUAAUCGUCGUGGGUGAGAUGCGUCGUUUACCUCUCUCGGUUGUAAUAUUAUGGGCCUGUUGUCUUUACAGUGUCUCUGCAGAUAACAAUGGCGUCAAGAAAAUGAAGGUGCAGUUCGCCACGGGUCCUCUUCUCAAAUUCCAGAUUUGUGUCUCCUGAGGAUACAAGCGGGUGUUUGAGGAGUACACGCAGGCUUUGUACCAGCGGUACCCAGACAUCCGCAUAGAAGGAGAGAACUACCUUCCUCUGCCUGUCUACAGGCACAUUGCUUCCUUUCUGUCUAUGUUUAAGCUGUUGCUAAUCGGCGUGAUCAUUGUGGGCAAGGAUCCAUUUGCUCUAUUUGGCAUGCAGGCCCCAGGUCUCUGGGUUUGGAGUCAAGAGAAUAAGAUGUUCCAGUUUGGUCCAAGCUGGAGUCAGGCCAUCUGCCUUCCAUGCAGCAACUAGUCCAAAUUCUGGAGAAUGAGAUGAAGAUGAAUGUGCACAUGGACACACUUCCACAUCAUCACUCGUAACCUUGUCUCUGAUUCACUGAAUGGAGCUGACGACCCCUCCUCUUCUGUGGUGAAGCUCUCCUACGGUUGUGAGGUGACGUUUAUGAAGGUUUGCCCUGAAAGUAGAGACUACUAGCGCACACCCGAUGUUCUGCGUUCUCCUCACCGUGCCCUUCAGAGAUGCAUCACCUACAGAUGCUGGUGUGGGAUCUACGGCAACAACAGUGGCCAUAUAAAUAUGAUUGCAGCCCAUCUCUAGUGCAAUAACCAUUUGAUUCAGGUCAGGAUAAAUGUUCACAAAGAUUAUAAUUUCCAUUUUAGUUUAGUUAGCUCAGUCAACGUUAUUUAUGAUGGCAUAUUUUUCUUUCACAUGCUUCUGUAUGGCUAAAAUCUGGUCUUUGUUUUAUUUAAUAAGUAGAUAUGAGAUGCUCCUAACUUAUACACCCAACCCCCAUCGUGAUCAUUUUACAUCUAAUUAACAUUAAUUAUAUUUCUGAGCCCUGGUUUUUAUAUUGCUUUGUUUAUAUAGAUUAAAAUGUUUACUAAAAGGAAAAUUAAACGUAAUCAAACUAAAUGCUGUUGUUGUUGUUGUUUUUUUUUUUUGUUUUUAGGAAAACUGACUUGCAGAUGCUUUUUACAGUCCUAAAACAUUUUUUAAAAAUUGAGAAAAUUACCAUCGAGUUACAUUUUACAUUAAGGUUUGAAAUAAUACUUAACCAUUAGAAAACAAGUAAUUUCUUUUUAUUAAACAUGCUGUUAAAUAACGCUCAUUUGUCCUGUUAUGUCAUUAACCUAGUCCAGAAUUGGGUUUAGUCUGGUCUUAAAGAGAUUACUGCAGGUGAAGAGUCUUAUGUGCUUCUCACCAUCUAAGAAUCCUAUUGUGAACUGAGAUUUUCAGUUAAUGUGUUUUGUCUAAUGAAGGCUUCAUCUUAUUUUGGUGAUUGAAAUGCAUGAUUUUCACUGUACAAAAACAUUCAGCUUAAUAGCUUUUCAACAUGGUAUUAUAUUUCAAUAAUUGGAAUAAAAAGAUUUUGAUUAUAUUGCAAUAGCUGGAAUUUGAUAACGUUUCAUGUAAAAUUACACACACAAUGUUGGAUUAUUAGGUCAGUUCAUUUAACAUUGAUAAGGUUCAGAUAACCUUGUAAAUUCUCUCUUAAAAGGACUAGUCUAGACCUUAGGCUUAAGGUGUGUUCACACCAAGAACGAUAACUACAAAGUUUUAAUAAUCUUAAUUCUAGGAAAAUAGUGAAGUCCACAGCACAGCUAUAAUGAUAAUGCCACAGGGUACCAAUAUAGUUUAAUAAAUUAUUAAAAAAAAUUAAUAUAAAAUACGUUUAAUAUUCUCUUAUCUAUUUUGUCCAUCCAUUGAAAGCCCACAAAUCCAAAAUGUUUUAACUUUAAAGGCAUACUCCACCCCAAAAUGAAGAUUUUGUCAUUUCAUUUCAUUUAUGCAUUUAGCAGAUGCUUUUAUCCAAAGCGACUCAGGCAUUCAGGCUAUCUUUUUUUUUUUCUUUACCAGUAUGUGUGUUCCCUGAGAAUUGAACUCAUGACCUUUUGUGCUGCUAACGCAACACUCUACCACUGAGCCACAUUAAUCACUUACCCCCCUGUCAUUCCAAACCCAUAAACUCUUCAUUCAUCUUCAGAACACAAUUUAAGAUAUUUUGGAUGAAAACCAGGAGGCUUGUGACUGUCCCAAUGACUGCCAAGUAAAUUACACUGUCAAGGUCCAGAAAAGUAUGAAAUCCGCUGCAUGGAGGUCCAGUUUUUUUCAAAUCAAAGCAUAAAUACACAUAGAAAACGUAUCCUUGUGUCGUGGCUGACACAGAAGAACGUGUGCAAUUUGGGUUCAGCGGAUAUUCUUCAUAAUGGCGCUACGGUGAUGUGGAGAGACACAGAGGAGACAAAUUGUUAAAUAAAGUCAUUAUUUUUGUUUUCUUUACACAUGAAAAGUAUUCUCGUCGCUUCAUAAUGUUACAGUUAAAUCACUGAUGGCAGAUGGAGUAUUCUGACGAUGUCUUUCAUACUUUUCUGGACCUUGACACUGUUAUUUACUUAGCAGUCUAUGGGACAGUCACAAGCCUCAAGUUUUCAUCCAAAAUAUCUUAAAUUGUGUUCCGAAGACGAAUUAAGCUUUUAUGUGUCAUUUGAACAUUUUAAACUUUACAG